rnacentral:rRNA from 1 species
UACGUAGGGGGCAAGCGUUGUCCGGAUUCAUUGGGCGUAAAGAGCGUGUAGGCGGCCAGGUAGGUCUGCUGUGAAAACUCGAGGCUCAACCUCGAGAUGUCGGCGGAAACCAUUUGGCUAGAGUCCGGAAGAGGAAAGUGGAAUUCCUGGUGUAGCGGUGAAAUGCGUAGAUAUCUGGAGGAACACCGGUGGCGAAGGCGGCAUCCUGGACCAUUACUGACACUGAAAAGCGAAAGCCAGGGGAGCAAACGGG